rnacentral:rRNA from 1 species
CUACGGGGCGCUCCAGUGGGGAAUAUUGCACAAUGGGCGCAAGCCUGAUGCAGCCAUGCCGCGUGUAUGAAGAAGGCCUUCGGGUUGUAAAGUACUUUCAGCGGGGAGGAAGGGAGUAAAGUUAAUACCUUUGCUCAUUGACGUUACCCGCAGAAGAAGCACCGGCUAACUCCGUGCCAGCAGCCGCGGUAAUACGGAGUGGUGCAAGCGUUGAUCGGAAUUACUGGGCGUAAAGCGCACGCAGGCGGUUUGUUAAGUCAGAUGUGAAAUCCCCGGGCUCAACCUGGGAACUGCAUCUGAUACUGGCGAGCUUGAGUCUCGUAGAGGGGGGUAGAAUUCCAGGUGUAGCGGUGAAAUGCGUAGAGAUCUGGAGGAAUACCGGUGGCGAAGGCGGCCCCCUGGACGAAGACUGACGCUCAGGUGCGAAAGCGUGGGGAGCAAACAGGAUUAGAUACCCGCGUAGUC